UGCAGGUUCUCAAUAUUGAUUAUUGGAGCGUGUUAUUUAAGCUGAAGAAAUCGAAUCAAGUUUCUGAAGCUAUAUUCCUUACCAGCUAGCAAAUAAUGCCUUCAUAUUCGAUUGCUAUGUAUACAUGUGCUGGUCAAUAUCACUGGUAUUUGUUAAGACUGGUAUCACCGGUUUCUGAAGCUAUAUUCCUUACCAGCUAGCACAUUACUGUUUUCAUAUUAAGACUGUUGAUAAAGAAAUAAGUUCAUCGAAAUUACUUCUUGUCAGACCUUAUUUUCAUAGUUUUUAAUGGUACCAUGCUAGACUUAAUUAAUUUAAAGGUAUAUGAUAUUUGUUUAGUGGGAACAAAUUGUAGGAAUGGAUGUCAUUGACAACAAGAAGUUGCAGAUUUAGUGGUUCCAUGGUCUUAAGCCACAGUUUAAGAGCUCUUGGAGGGACAGUGAGUGAGGAUCUGAACCAACAGUCAGCGAGGGCCUGAACCAACAGUGAGCAAGGGCCUGAACCAGCAGCAGCUUACAGUUAUACCAAUUGAACAAUGCUACUUGCUAUCGAAACAUAUUAGGGUAACAAGUUAUCUGAAUUAUUAUGCAGUUGACAUAUCCAUGAUGACUGGCACCUUCCUACAGCAUUCAUCUAGAGGCGAGGAUAAUAGAUGCCGCCCAGAGGUUUUUAUUAUAUUUUUUUUUCAAAUAAAUUUGAGAUAUAGGCUAAGCUUGUUGGUUCUUAAGUGGAAAAUAGAUCUUAAUUACAUAAUUUUCUUCUAGGUAAUAUAGAAAUAAUUAAAUAAAAAAAUGUGAUUCUCUCCUUUUGUAUGCAAUACAAUGCAAACAACAUGAUGGAGAAAUUGACAGUUUGGUGGCAAUUGCUUAUGUAAAUCAAGUGGGUAAUAGACAGAGUAGUUGGAAAUCCAACCAGCUUCUUUGAAGGCAUAUGUGCGCAAGCCUGCUUGCUUGAUGAAUUGGCUCUGGUGUCCAUUUGUUGGGUGUGCAGGGAUGCGGUUUCGUAUUCAUAUAUGGUGAAUUAAGUUGAAGGCAUGAAUCUGCUUUCCUAAUGCAUGAAUCAACUUUCUGUGCAAGUUGUGGUCACUUGCUGAUUGAGUUUUCUUAAAUUUAUCUAGAACAUAGCCCUCCAAUCGAGGAGCUAAUCAACACAGAAGUGGUGUGCUAUGAUUCAAACAGCUCCUCACAUGUGAGGACCAUCCACAACUCCGGGUGUGGGAAUAAUGUCACUGGUGAAUUAUAUUGUGUACUUUAUUUGCUCUUCGGUGUCAGGUUUGCAAUAUAUACCUUAUUGUUUUUUACUGCAGUGUGAGACUGCGUAGGCACUCACCAACAGUGCAUCAGGCCAUCAAAGAACACAAUUGAUCGGAAUCAAGUUUGUUAACUGCUUCUUCAUCAACAGCAGCAACCGGUACACAAAUGACGAUUCAGGAGUCUUUUCAGCUCCGCGUAGUGAUCUUAGGACUUUUCCGAAAGAAGACACCUGGCGCUGAGCUCUCAGAGGAAUGACAGUGAUGUCUAA